rfam:Colius striatus contig39830, whole genome shotgun sequence.
UCCAGCGGUAGUCAGCUGCCCAUAGCUGCUCAGUGCCUGGGAUAGUGUUAUGCUGCUGGGAGAGGAAUGUGCUGCCGAGUCCUUCCUGGCACCAUCAGUGCUGUUCUAGUGCUAGAUGAUGCCAGGUUUUGGCAGCACUCUGCAUGCCUGAGAGUGGAGUAACUCCUCCUCAGUGGAGUUAAUCCUAGACUGGAUGCAGACAAU